UGAAGUAGGCGGGGGCAAGGGCCAGAUGGGUGGGGCGAAGGAGGAGAUUGCUGGCAGGUUGGGGAUGGCACCUGCGAGCAGCCGCGUGGUUCGGGCUUGAGAGCCGAUGAAACCACUGUAAUUUAAAGACUUUAAGUAAUGCUAUCAAAGCAUACAGCUCCUACAUGGUAAAGCCCAGAUUUGAAAGCAAGUGGACAAAGCCCAAAAUACUAUUAACCACUGGAUCUACUGCCUCUAUUGAAGUUGAUCCUGUUUAUUCUUACAUCAGUUUCAUGAAGUCCUUUUACUUUUGGAAACCUUGCAAAUAAUUGUUAUUUACAGUAAUUUGACCUUCUAGGUGGGCGAGAAAAGGUUAUCUUGGUGGUGGUGGUUUAAAUUACCUAUGGUGGUGAAGAUGGGAGUACCACAAUAUUUUCAGGCAAAAGGCCUAUAACAGUCAUCUAAAAGACCUGCUAGUACCAAGAAUUUGUGCUUUGUCUGAGCACCUCCUACAAAGAUAGAAGAGAGGAAGAAACCUCGGAUUUUCCUGAUGUUGGAGAAACCUACCUGAGCUUCCACUGACCUAAAAGCUGACCUCACAGUGCAUCAUGGCGGGAAGAAGGGAGUUUAGCUGAUUUGAAGCCAAUGGAUUAUAAUUGCAUGUUAAACAUUCAUACUUCCCAAUAAAACAGAGGUUUUUAACUGGGCUGCACAUAAGGUUUUUAACUGAGCUGCACAUAAGGUUUAUCUGCAGAGCUUUAAAAAACUACAGAUGCCCAAGACCCAUCCCAAGGGAUUCUGGUACGGAAGGCAUAUUAUUCAGAAUUUCUUUGACUGAAAGCAGCAAAAGAGCAACUCAAAUCAGCCUCAGCCACAAUUUGGAGUGAGUUGUGAAUUAUUAUC